CUUAGAUAACUCUUCUAUCAGGAUCAUUGUCCUCAAGCAACGGGAAGGAAUUCUGAGCAGAGACACAGAAUGAGACUGAGCAACUCCAGCUUUUCCAGAGUCAGACUUUCUCCAAUGCUUCUGUCAUUUUGUGAAAUGCAGAACCUGGCACUCACCCAUAAUAAAUGGGAAUUUUGGCAGGACACACUCCAAAACAUUUGGGAAUUUACUACUGCACCUGCUCAUUAGCAUGGAAGAUUGAAAGCAGGGUGUCUAAAUGUUCUGAAGAAAUAAAGAAUUACAUUGAAGAACGUUCUGGAGAGGAUCCUCUGGUGAAAGGAAUUCCAGAAGACAAGAAUCCCUUUAAAGAAAAAGGCAGCUGCGUUAUUUCAUAAAUAACUCUGGGGAGACGCUUCAUCCUCAGUGGAAGAACUAGCUUGUUUUAGUUUGCCAGAAUGAAACCGACAUGCCUUUUAAAGAGAAAAAAAAAAAAAGAAUGAAAUUUAAAGGAGACUUUCUUCAGCACUUAUAUAGAUAUGGUUCUGUAUACAAGCUAUGUGCUUCUCAUCUUUGCUCACUACACUCCCCUUUUAAGAGGGCAGAGAGUAUCAAAUGUGCAGUUAUGGAAAGAAGGACAUUACUUGUGCAUGACUCACCUCUUUCAGUAUAUUGCUUGAUGCCUCAAAUAAAGUUUUAUCUCUGAAAAAUGAGUGUUGAUGAUUUAAGACAGCAUUUAAUUUUUUUGGCCUUAAAUUUUAUAUUUUUCCCCAUAACCUUUCUGGUAUUUGGGACAUGUAUCAAAAGAUGAGGUGGUUUGAUAGAUCAGUUCCCCAAUCCAGCUCUCUCUGCUUCAAUUCUUAGGAGGUUUACAGUGCUGAGUUCUGACUUCUGGAAUGUGUCUGAUCUAACGUUAACUAUUAGGGAAUUGAGUGAAUAGAACUGAACGCUAACAGGAAUCAGAUUAUUUGAGUCAGGAACCAGGCCAAGCCAUGCCUACAUAAGCACUUCUGUGGUUUGUCAUCAUACAGAUCUUGUUCAAACUGUUGCCGCAACAGUGGCCUUAGGAUAGGGAGAGGGUUGGGGUCAAGAGGAGCACCCGGGCGCCAGCCCUGGAAUGUUCACCCUCAGGGAGCUGCACCUCCUACAGGCUCUGCAGGUCUUGGCAUGGCCACCCUCCAGCUCUGUGUCAUUGGAACAGAGACUUGGUUCUGCGUGGCUUGGGCCAAGCACUGCUCUUUUCCUUCUCCUCCAAAGGGACAAGUUAACCUUGUACCCAUUUCUAAAAUUAGCUUGCUUUUUUCUCAUUGAUUUGCAGGAGUUUUUAAUAUAUUCUGACCAUGCAUCCUUUGUCGGUGAUAGGUGUUGGAGGUGCCUUCUCCCAGUCCAUGGCUUAACGUUCCACAGCGGGACCAUCGCUGCAGCGAUUUUAGCCCGCAGAUGCAGCACACCAGAGUACAUGGGCUGCUCAAGUCCUUCAUGAAGACACCCGUAGCCGGACCUUAAAGAAAGGGACCUUUCUUCCUCUCUUUGAGCAUUCUUCCUCCCUCUCCCUCUGUCUUUUGGAUGCAAGUUUCACCAGGUUUGAGCCAAAAACAAGACAAGGAAAACCCUUACAGGUUAGCUCCAGCUCAAGUGGGCUCAGUUACUAACUCCUCCUGCAAUUUUACAUAUGACACCAGAAACCCAGGUUUCUGCUUGACGAGGUCUUUUCUCCAGCCUAGAUGCAUAGGUGUGCUUCAUCAAGCCAGAGAGGUGCCUGUGACUCCAGCAGCUUCCUCAAGUCUAUCAGCACCUUCACUAGGAACUACUUUCCCUUCCCUCUCCAAGAAGGAACGGGAUACCCCAGGCUUUUGAAAGAGCAGGUUACGGCAAACCAAGAGCUGGGAAUAUUUCCUUCAGUUUCUUGCCUUUUUUCCAAGUGUUGAAGUCAAUUGGGAUUACUGAGAGCCCAGGGAUAAUUUUACUCCAAAGGAGGAUUUACUCCAAGGUGAGGUUUAAGAACAGCAAAGGUAUUAUUUUUUGCCAGCAGCCAUAGAACAAUUAGUAUUUGGGUUAUGUUGCUAUUAUUUCAUUUAACAUUUAAAGUGGCAUGGGAUUUUAGUACCUUGGUGCUUGUAAAGUUUUACUUUAAUGAACUGUUUCAUUUAAGUCAUAAAGUUUUCUUCUGUUGCAUAAAAAAGCAAACAUCUAUUCUGCUUAUUGGUAAGACAGAUCAAAUCACCUGCUUCCUUCAUGAAAGGCCAACUCAAUGCAUUUAUCCACUAACUUCUUGAAGUUGGGGAUUACAAGGCUGUAUCCUGAAUUUCUAUCAGCCGCAUUCAGCUGCCCAUUCACAUGCAUCUGCAAGUCCUAGCUUCUGCUCUUCCUGUACCUUCAACCAUAUGACAAAUUAGUCAGCCUACUUCUGUUUUUUCACUAAUAAAUAUCCAAUCUUGUAGAUGUUUCUACCAAAUCUAAUCUGUUCUAUUUUCCUUACUGUUUCAUCAUCGUAACUCAGCAAAUCUAUAAGAAGUGUAAUAAAAUACUCUUGAUUUUCAAGUGUUGAACUUAUUAGCUUGCGUUAGGAAGAAAAUGAAAAUAUGGUAACUAUGUAUUUAGAUAUAUUAUAUAAGUAACCUUUAGUAAGUGGGAAUUUGUUAAGUAGAAUUCAAAUCAUGUGUUCAACUUCUUUCAGUAUAUAAUUGUGUAAUCAUUUGAUAUCUGAUUGAUUAAAUACUUAUUAUGCUUUGUGUAUUGAGACUUACGUUCUAUAAACCCACAUUAAAUUAGCAAAAUAGGCUUUCCUAAUUCUAGGCAGAAUCUACAUUACAAGCUCACCCCUACUUGGUAUUUUAAGACAGGUUAUUCUGUAUCUUGGAUGCAAACUGGUAUCUCAUUACUGUCUAAAUUUGCAUUUUCUUGAUUUCCUAUGACUUCUACUGUCAGAUUUUUGUGUACCUUUUGAUUACCUUCACCCAUUUCAACCACGCCCCCCACCCCCUACCAAUGGCAAUCACCACUCUGUCCUCUGUAUCUAUGAACUUGGUUUUCUUUUUUUAGAUUCCACAUAAAAGUGAGAUAAUA
ensembl:lncRNA